GGGGGCGUAAAGGUCUCGACGGAGGUCGAAAACCAGGAAGUGCAGGCCGGGGGCCCGUGUCCUCGUCAAAAAAGCGGGAAAAACUCAACUGCCAAUGAGCAGUUGGCUCUCGCCGCUUAAAUAGCGGCGACGGCUGCCCGGACCCCGCCUGUGGGGGCCGGAGCGGGCGUCAGACAAACGCAGGCUGGUCCAACGCCACGCCCGUGGGCAGCGGACGAGAUCCAAAGCGGGCUGGUGCGCCGCUGAUCCCGCCGGCCGGAGCGGAGGCGCACGAGAUACAAUAGGCCGGACACGCCUGUAGGACUCCCUGGGGACUGGCUUUCGGACGCGGGUUCGAUUCCCGCCGCCUCCACCA
rnacentral:tmRNA from 2 species